AUUGAACGCUGGCGGCAUGCUUUACACAUGCAAGUCGAACGGGCUUGGGGGCUUGCUCCCAAGUUAGUGGCGAACGGGUGAGUAAUACAUCGGAACGUACCGUGUAGUGGGGGAUAACGUAGCGAAAGUUACGCUAAUACCGCAUACGAUCUACGGAUGAAAGCAGGGGACCUUCGGGCCUUGUGCUAUACGAGCGGCCGAUGUCUGAUUAGCUAGUUGGUGAGGUAAAGGCUCACCAAGGCGACGAUCAGUAGCGGGUCUGAGAGGAUGAUCCGCCACACUGGGACUGAGACACGGCCCAGACUCCUACGGGAGGCAGCAGUGGGGAAUUUCGGACAAUGGGCGAAAGCCUGAUCCAGCCAUGCCGCGUGUCUGAAGAAGG
rnacentral:rRNA from 1 species